GAUGAACGCUGGCGGCGUGCCUAAUACAUGCAAGUCGAGCGAACAGACGAGGAGCUUGCUCCUCUGACGUUAGCGGCGGACGGGUGAGUAACACGUGGAUAACCUACCUAUAAGACUGGGAUAACUUCGGGAAACCGGAGCUAAUACCGGAUAAUAUAUUGAACCGCAUGGUUCAAUAGUGAAAGACGGUUUUGCUGUCACUUAUAGAUGGAUCCGCGCCGCAUUAGCUAGUUGGUAAGGUAACGGCUUACCAAGGCAACGAUGCGUAGCCGACCUGAGAGGGUGAUCGGCCACACUGGAACUGAGACACGGUCCAGACUCCUACGGGAGGCAGCAGUAGGGAAUCGUCCGCAAUGGGCGAAAGCCUGACGGAGCAACGCCGCGUGAGUGAUGAAGGUCUUCGGAUCGUAAAACUCUGUUAUUAGGGAAGAACAAAUGUGUAAGUAACUAUGCACGUAUUGACGGUACCUAAUCAGAAAGCCACGGCUAACUACGUG
rnacentral:rRNA from 1 species